rnacentral:rRNA from 1 species
UGCAGUCGAACGAGUUCUGAUUAUUGAAAGGUGCUUGCAUCUUGAUUUAAUUUUGAACGAGUGGCGGACGGGUGAGUAACACGUGGGUAACCUGCCCUUAAGUGGGGGAUAACAUUUGGAAACAGAUGCUAAUACCGCAUAAAUCCAAGAACCGCAUGGUUCUUGGCUGAAAGAUGGCGUAAGCUAUCGCUUUUGGAUGGACCCGCGGCGUAUUAGCUAGUUGGUGAGGUAACGGCUCACCAAGGCAAUGAUACGUAGCCGAACUGAGAGGUUGAUCGGCCACAUUGGGACUGAGACACGGCCCAAACUCCUACGGGAGGCAGCAGUAGGGAAUCUUCCACAAUGGACGCAAGUCUGAUGGAGCAACGCCGCGUGAGUGAAGAAGGCUUUCGGGUCGUAAAACUCUGUUGUUGGAGAAGAAUGGUCGGCAGAGUAACUGUUGUCGGCGUGACGGUAUCCAACCAGAAAGCCACGGCUAACUACGUGCCAGCAGCCGCGGUAAUACGUAGGUGGCAAGCGUUAUCCGGAUUUAUUGGGCGUAAAGCGAGCGCAGGCGGUUUUUUAAGUCUGAUGUGAAAGCCCUCGGCUUAACCGAGGAAGUGCAUCGGAAACUGGGAAACUUGAGUGCAGAAGAGGACAGUGGAACUCCAUGUGUAGCGGUGAAAUGCGUAGAUAUAUGGAAGAACACCAGUGGCGAAGGCGGCUGUCUGGUCUGUAACUGACGCUGAGGCUCGAAAGCAUGGGUAGCGAACAGGAUUAGAUACCCUGGUAGUCCAUGCCGUAAACGAUGAAUGCUAGGUGUUGGAGGGUUUCCGCCCUUCAGUGCCGCAGCUAACGCAUUAAGCAUUCCGCCUGGGGAGUACGACCGCAAGGUUGAAACUCAAAGGAAUUGACGGGGGCCCGCACAAGCGGUGGAGCAUGUGGUUUAAUUCGAAGCAACGCGAAGAACCUUACCAGGUCUUGACAUCUUUUGAUCACCUGAGAGAUCAGGUUUCCCCUUCGGGGGCAAAAUGACAGGUGGUGCAUGGUUGUCGUCAGCUCGUGUCGUGAGAUGUUGGGUUAAGUCCCGCAACGAGCGCAACCCUUAUGACUAGUUGCCAGCAUUUAGUUGGGCACUCUAGUAAGACUGCCGGUGACAAACCGGAGGAAGGUGGGGAUGACGUCAAAUCAUCAUGCCCCUUAUGACCUGGGCUACACACGUGCUACAAUGGAUGGUACAACGAGUUGCGAGACCGCGAGGUCAAGCUAAUCUCUUAAAGCCAUUCUCAGUUCGGACUGUAGGCUGCAACUCGCCUACACGAAGUCGGAAUCGCUAGUAAUCGCGGAUCAGCACGCCGCGGUGAAUACGUUCCCGGGCCUUGUACACACCGCCCGUCACACCAUGAGAGUUUGUAACACCCGAAGCCGGUGGCGUAACCCUUUAGGGAGCGAGCCGUCUAAUG